UACGUAGGGCGCAAGCGUUUAUCCGGAAUUAUUGGGCGUAAAGAGCUCGUAGGCGGUUUGUCGCGUCUGCCGUGAAAGUCCGGGGCUCAACUCCGGAUCUGCGGUGGGUACGGGCAGACUAGAGUGCGGAAGAGGCGAGUGGAAUUCCUGGUGUAGCGGUGAAAUGGCGCAGAUAUCAGGAGGAACACCAAUUGCGAAGGCAGCUCGCUGGGACGUUACUGACGCUGAGACGCGAAAGCGUGGGGAGCAAACAGG
rnacentral:rRNA from 1 species